CUCUCGCACGGGAUUGACGAUCCGUCCGGCCAAUAGCAGACGCCCAGUCGGCGGGUGGAUGAACGCGGCCUUCUGUAAUGGCGGAGCGUGGCGGGGACGGGGGGGACGGUGAGCGAUUCAACCCGGGGGAGCUCAGGAUGGCUCAACAGCAGGCCUUGAGGUUCCGAGGCCCAGCUCCCCCCCCAAAUGCAGUGAUGCGAGGCCCACCACCUCUCAUGCGACCUCCUCCCCCCUUUGGCAUGAUGCGAGGCCCUCCUCCGCCACCUCGUCCCCCCUUCGGACGUCCUCCUUUUGAUCCUAAUAUGCCGCCAAUGCCUCCUCCAGGGGGGAUUCCUCCACCUAUGGGCCCUCCACACCUCCAGAGGCCACCUUUCAUGCCCCCGCCCAUGGGAGCCAUGCCUCCUCCUCCAGGCAUGAUGUUUCCACCAGGAAUGCCGCCUGUGACUGCUCCUGGUACUCCAGCACUGCCUCCUACUGAGGAGAUAUGGGUUGAAAAUAAAACUCCAGAUGGGAAGGUUUAUUAUUAUAAUGCUCGGACACGUGAAUCUGCGUGGACCAAGCCAGAUGGAGUUAAGGUUAUUCAGCAGUCAGAACUGACACCAAUGCUUGCGGCCCAGGCCCAGGUUCAGGCGCAGGCCCAGGCGCAGGCGCAGGCGCAGGCCCAGGCGCAGGCACAGGCCCAGGCCCAAGCUCAGGCUCAGGCCCAGGCCCAGGCGCAGGCGCAGGCUCAGGCACAAGCACAGGCUCAGGCCCAGGCCCAGGCCCAGGCGCAGGCGCAGGUGCAAGCACAAGCGGUGGGGGCGUCCACCCCCACGACCAGUAGCCCAGCGCCUGCAGUAUCCACGUCAGCAUCAUCAUCCACCCCAUCUUCUACCACUUCGACCACGACAACUGCCUCUUCGGUUGCGCAGACAGUAUCAACACCCACAACACAAGAUCAGACCCCAAGUUCUGCUGUUUCAGUUGCCACGCCUACAGUUAGUGUUUCAGCUCCUGCUCCUACAGCCACACCUGUGCAGACGGUUCCCCAGCCGCACCCCCAGGCGUUACCUCCCGCUGUUCCCCAUUCAGUACCUCAGCCAGCAGCAGCCUUACCUGCCUUUCCGCCAGUGAUGGUGCCUCCGUUCCGUGUCCCCCUCCCCGGCAUGCCGAUUCCACUUCCAGGUGUAGCAAUGAUGCAAAUAGUCAGCUGCCCGUAUGUAAAGACAGUCGCUACCACCAAAACCGGUGUAUUGCCAGGAAUGGCCCCUCCUAUUGUACCCAUGAUACAUCCCCAGGUCGCUAUUGCAGCUUCACCUGCUACCUUAGCUGGAGCGACAGCAGUUUCUGAGUGGACUGAAUACAAAACAGCAGAUGGGAAGACAUAUUAUUAUAACAAUAGAACAUUAGAAUCAACCUGGGAAAAACCCCAAGAACUAAAGGAGAAAGAAAAAUUAGAGGAGAAGAUUAAAGAGCCAAUUAAAGAACCUUCUGAAGAACCCUUACCAAUGGAGACUGAGGAGGAAGACCCCAAAGAGGAACCGCUGAAGGAGAUGAAGGAGGUAAAGGGCUGUGGCCCGUUCACCUGGGAGCCGGCAUUGAUUGAGCCCAAAGAAGAGGAGAUGACUGAAGAAGAAAAGGCCGCCCAGAAGGCGAAGCCAGUAGCCACCACGCCGAUUCCGGGUACUCCGUGGUGUGUUGUUUGGACCGGUGAUGAGCGGGUCUUCUUUUAUAAUCCUACCACCCGUCUUUCUAUGUGGGACCGACCUGAUGAUCUGAUUGGAAGGGCGGAUGUUGACAAAAUUAUUCAGGAGCCCCCUCAUAAAAAAGGAAUGGAAGAAGUAAAGAAAUUAAGGCACCCGACCCCGACAAUGCUGUCCAUCCAGAAGUGGCAGUUCUCUAUGAGUGCAAUUAAAGAAGAGCAAGAAUUAAUGGAAGAAAUUAAUGAAGAUGAACCUAUUAAAGCCAAAAAACGGAAGAGAAUGUCAAAGAAGUCCUUUAUGUGGAUUGCCCGAGCUUCUCUAUUUAGGAGAGAUGAUAAUAAAGACAUGGAUUCAGAGAAAGAAGCUGCCAUGGAAGCUGAAAUUAAAGCGGCCCGAGAAAGGGCCAUUGUCCCUCUGGAGGCCCGAAUGAAGCAGUUCAAGGACAUGCUGCUAGAGAGAGGGGUGUCUGCUUUUUCAACAUGGGAGAAGGAAUUGCACAAGAUAGUUUUUGAUCCUCGAUACUUACUUCUCAAUCCUAAAGAGAGAAAACAGGUAUUUGAUCAGUAUGUAAAGACGAGGGCAGAGGAAGAACGCAGGGAAAAGAAAAACAAAAUAAUGCAAGCCAAGGAAGAUUUCAAAAAAAUGAUGGAAGAAGCAAAAUUUAAUCCAAGAGCUACUUUUAGUGAAUUUGCAGCCAAGCAUGCUAAAGAUUCAAGAUUCAAAGCAAUUGAAAAGAUGAAAGAUCGAGAAGCCUUGUUCAAUGAAUUUGUGGCAGCUGCAAGGAAAAAAGAGAAAGAGGAUUCGAAGACCAGAGGUGAGAAGAUUAAGUCGGAUUUCUUUGAACUGUUGUCUAAUCAUCACUUGGACAGUCAGUCUCGAUGGAGCAAAGUUAAAGACAAAGUAGAAAGUGAUCCACGGUACAAAGCAGUGGACAGUUCAUCGAUGAGAGAAGACCUUUUCAAACAGUACAUUGAAAAAAUAGCCAAGAAUCUAGACUCAGAAAAAGAAAAGGAGCUUGAAAGGCAAGCCCGGAUUGAGGCAAGCCUUCGAGAACGAGAAAGAGAGGUUCAGAAGGCUCGCUCAGAGCAGACGAAGGAAAUAGAUCGGGAGAGAGAGCAACACAAGCGGGAAGAAGCCAUCCAGAAUUUCAAGGCUCUUCUGUCUGACAUGGUACGUUCUUCAGAUGUGUCCUGGUCUGAUACUCGGAGGACUCUCCGUAAAGAUCACCGCUGGGAAUCUGGGUCCUUGUUGGAGAGAGAGGAGAAAGAGAAGCUUUUUAAUGAACACAUUGAAGCACUUACCAAAAAAAAGAGGGAGCACUUUAGGCAACUUCUGGAUGAAACUUCUGCAAUUACCUUAACAUCCACAUGGAAAGAAGUAAAAAAAAUCAUUAAGGAAGAUCCUCGGUGCAUUAAAUUCUCUUCCAGUGACAGGAAAAAACAAAGAGAGUUUGAAGAAUACAUCAGAGACAAAUACAUCACAGCCAAAGCUGACUUCAGGACGCUUUUGAAAGAGACCAAAUUUAUAACAUACAGUUAAUUUAGUGAAAGAUGUGAAAGUGAAAGCUUGUGAAAGAUGCUGGGAUUGGCAGCCCCGCAGACUGAAGUCCUCUGUUCAUCCACAGAACAGAUCCAAAAAGCUAAUCCAGGAAUCUGAUCAGCACCUGAAAGAUGUAGAAAAAAUUUUGCAGAACGACAAACGGUAUCUAGUACUAGACUGUGUGCCAGAGGAGAGGCGUAAACUGAUUGUGGCAUAUGUGGAUGACCUGGAUCGCCGGGGUCCCCCCCCACCUCCCACGGCGUCAGAGCCCACAAGACGAUCAACAAAGUAAUUCUGAAUACUCUUCCCCAGGGGUAUCUAUUAAAUCAAAAUGCUUGCAUGAGCCAAUUUUCAGGUUUUUACAUACAUGUGCAUUAGUCAAACUAUUGCAAAACCAUCCAAUGAACAGAAGGAGAAGCAUUCGUGAACAGUUUCUGAACAGAGAACACUUUGGAAAUAUUUAUGCUUUUCUUUGUGUGGCAUGACUGACAUACAUACUCAAAUAUAGGCUGUCUCUAGUAACUCUUAAAUCUUGAAGCUAAAAAUCAUCCCUUUAUGAGGUGUGGAAGUCAGUGACUUUUGGUGAAGUUCUUUCUAGCAGUGUUACACAUGCAAGACAUUAAGAGCAUUUGUGGUUUGAACUUGCAAGAUGCUAAUACCACAGACUCCAAGAAACCUAAGCUGGGGUUUGUUAUGUUUUGAUUUUGUUUUUUAAAGCGGGUAAAAGAGAAAACACUGAAAAUUGAAUCCUUAUCUUCCAGAGGCUAAGAUUAUUAUGGACAUACUUUUACCUUUGUCUCUAAACAACACUUUAGUUUUGUUUGUUCACUCUAUGUGCUUUGAUUAUCCCUUCUGAAUUAUAGGCCAUGUCUUGUUGUUUAGCCUAAGAGAAGAUUUAUGUAGUAAUUUCUUCUCAGGUAUGGAACUACGGUCAUAACUAACAUUUGACCAAAACAGGACUGCUGGUUAAACACAUUUUAUUCGCCAUUAAGUGAUCUUUAUCAAUAUUCUGGAUUAGACAACAAAUUACCUUUCUUGGGUGUUCCCUGUAAACAGUACUCCUGUUAAAUGUUAAACUUUUGUUUCUAAAGUUUAAUUUUAAGAUGUUUUGAUGUUCAGUUUAUGUAUUUGAACUACAAUAAACCAGCCCUUUUUAUAUA